GAUGAACGCUGGCGGCGUGCCUAAUACAUGCAAGUCGAGCGAACAGACGAGGAGCUUGCUCCUCUGACGUUAGCGGCGGACGGGAGAGUAACACGUGGAUAACCUACCUAUAAGACUGGGAUAACUUCGGGAAACCGGAGCUAAUACCGGAUAAUAUAUUGCACCGCGUGGGUCAAUAGUGAAAGUCGGUUUUUCUGUCACUAAUAGAUUGAUCCGCGCCGCAUUAGCUAGUUGGUAAGGUAAAGGCUUAUCAAGGCAAGGAUGCGUAGCCGACCUGAGCGGGUGAUCGGCCACACUGGAACGGAGACACGGUCCCGACUCCUGCGGGAGGCAGCAGUAGGGAAUCUUCCGCAAUGGGCGAAAGCCUGACGGAGCAACGCCGCGUGAGUGAUGAAGGUGUUCGGAUCGUAAAACUCUGUUAUUAGGGAAGAACAAAUGUGUAAGUAACUAUGCACGUCUUGACGGUACCGAAUCAGAAAGCCACGGCUAACUACGUG
rnacentral:rRNA from 1 species